GGAGGGAUGGCUGAGUGGUCGAAAGCGGCGGUCUUGAAAACCGUUGUACCGCAAGGUACCGUGGGUUCGAAUCCUACUCCCUCCGCCA
rnacentral:tRNA from 1 species